rnacentral:rRNA from 1 species
GUGCCAGCAGCCGCGGUAAUACGUAGGGUGCAAGCAUUGUCCGGAUUUAUUGGGCGUAAAGAGCUCGUAGGCGGCUUGUCACGUCGGAUGUGAAAACUCGGGGCUCAACCCCGAGCCUGCAUUCGAUACGGGCUAGCUAGAGUGUUGCAGGGGAGACUGGAAUUCCUGGUGUAGCGGUGAAAUGCGCAGAUAUCAGGAGGAACACCGGUGGCGAAGGCGGGUCUCUGGGCAACUACUGACGCUGAGGAGCGAAAGCGUGGGGAGCGAACAGGAUUAGAUACCCUCGUAGUCC